rnacentral:rRNA from 1 species
GACGAAGGGGGCUAGCGUUGUUCGGAAUUACUGGGCGUAAAGCGCGUGUAGGCGGUUGCCAAAGUCGGGUGUGAAAGCCUUGAGCUCAACUCAAGAAAUGCACUCGAUACUUGGUGACUAGAGGACCGGAGAGGAUAGUGGAAUUCCCAGUGUAGUGGUGAAAUACGUAGAGAUUGGGAAGAACACCAGUGGCGAAGGCGGCUAUCUGGCCUGUUCUUGACGCUGAGGCGCGAAAGCUAGGGUAGCAAACGGG